AAGCUCGUAGUUGAAUUUCGGGAUCAAUUUGUCGGUCGUGCCUCGGUACGUACUGGCAUUAUUGGUUUCUGCCUUCUGAAGAACCUCGAUGUCAUUAAUUUGGUGUCUUGGGGAAUCAGGACUGUUACUUUGAAAAAAUUAGAGUGUUUAAAGCAGGCAUACGCUUGAAUACAUUAGCAUGGAAUAAUGAAAUAGGACGUUUGAUUCUAUUUUGUUGGUUUCUAGGAUCGACGUAAUGAUUAAUAGGGAUAGUUGGGGGCAUUAGUAUUCAAUUGUCAGAGGUGAAAUUCUUGGAUUUAUUGAAGACUAACUACUGCGAAAGCAUUUGCCAAGGAUGUUUUCAUUAAUCAAGAACGAAAGUUAGGGGAUCGAAGACGAUCAGAUACCGUCGUAGUCUUAACCAUAAACUAUGCCGACUAGGGAUCGGAUGAUGUUAUUUUUAAUGACUCAUUCGGCGCCUUACGGGAAACCAAAGUGUUUGGGUUCCGGGGGGAGUAUGGUCGCAAGGCUGAAACUUAAAGGAAUUGACGGAAGGGCACCACCAGGGGUGGAGCCUGCGGCUUAAUUUGACUCAACACGGGGAAA
rnacentral:rRNA from 1 species